rnacentral:rRNA from 1 species
GAUGAACGCUGGCGGCGUGCCUAAUACAUGCAAGUCGAGCGAACGGACGAGAAGCUUGCUUCUCUGAUGUUAGCGGCGGACGGGUGAGUAACACGUGGAUAACCUACCUAUAAGACUGGGAUAACUUCGGGAAACCGGAGCUAAUACCGGAUAAUAUUUUGAACCGCAUGGUUCAAAAGUGAAAGACGGUCUUGCUGUCACUUAUAGAUGGAUCCGCGCUGCAUUAGCUAGUUGGUAAGGUAACGGCUUACCAAGGCAACGAUGCAUAGCCGACCUGAGAGGGUGAUCGGCCACACGGGAACUGAGACACGGUCCAGACUCCUACGGGAGGCAGCAGUAGGGAAUCUUACGCAAUGGGCGAAAGCCUGACGGAGCAACACCGCGUGAGUGAUGAAGGUCUUCGGAUCGUAAAACUCUGUUAUUAGGGAAGAACAUAUGAGUAAGUAAAUGUGCACAUAUUGACGGUACCUAAUCAGAAAGCCACGGCUAACUACGUG